rnacentral:rRNA from 1 species
CACGUGGGUAACCAACCCUAUAGUCUGGGACAACUCAGGGAAACUUGGGCUAAUACCGGAUGUGCUAUUUGGGACUUCGGUUCUGAAUAGGAAAGGAGCAAUCCGCUAUAGGACGGGCUCGCGGCCCAUCAGCUAGUUGGCGAGGUAUGGCUCACCAAGGCAAAGACGGGUAGCUGGUCUGAGAGGAUGAUCAGCCACACUGGAACUGAGACACGGUCCAGACUCCUACGGGAGGCAGCAGUGGGGAAUAUUGCGCAAUGGGGGAAACCCUGACGCAGCCACGCCGCGUGAGAUGAAGGUUUUAGGAUCGUAAAGCUCUGUGGAGGGAGAAGAAACCUGACGGUAUCCCUUUAGCAAGCACCGGCUAACUCCGUGCCAGCAGCCGCGGUAAUACGGAGGGUGCAAACGUUGCUCGGAAUUACUGGGCGUAAAGCGCGCGUAGGGGCUUUGUAAGUCGGAUGUGAAAUCCCCGGGCUUAACCUGGGAACUGCAUUCGAUACUGCAGAACUAGAGUAUGGUAGAGGGAAGUGGAAUUUCCGGUGUAGCGGUGAAAUGCGUAGAUAUCGGAAGGAACACCAGUGGCGAAGGGACUUCCUGGGCCAAUACUGACGCUGAGGUGCGAAAGGUGGGGAGCAAACAGGAUUAGAUACCCUGGUAGUCCACGCCGUAAACGAUGAGAACUAGAUGUCGGGGGAAUUUGUCCUUCGGUGUCGCAGCUAACGCGUUAGGUUCUCCGCCUGGGGAGUACGCCGGCAACGUAAAACUCAAAGGAAUUGACGGGGACCCGCACAAGC